UGCCAGCAGCCGCGGUAAUACGAAGGGGGCUAGCGUUGUUCGGAAUAACUGGGCGUAAAGCGCACGUAGGCGGAUUGUUAAGUUAGGGGUGAAAUCCCAGGGCUCAACCCCGGAACUGCCUCCAAAACUAUCAGUCUAGAGUUCGAGAGAGGUGAGUGGAACUCCGAGUGUAGAGGUGAAAUUCGUAGAUAUUCGGAAGAACACCAGUGGCGAAGGCGGCUUUCUGGACCGAUACUGACGCUGAGACGCGAAAGCGUGGGGAGCAAACAGGAUUAGAUA
rnacentral:rRNA from 1 species